rnacentral:rRNA from 1 species
GGCGAGUGAAGCGGGAAGAGCUCAAGCUUAAAAUCUCCGUGCAAGUUUUGUGCGGCGAAUUGUAGUCUAUAGAGGCGUGGUCAGCGUGGGCGCUUGGGGCAAGUUCCUUGGAAGAGGACAGCAUGGAGGGUGAUACUCCCGUUCAUCCCUGAGUGGCUCGUGCGUACGACCCGUUUUCUUUGAGUCGCGUUGUUUGGGAAUGCAGCGCAAAGUAGGUGGUAAAUUCCAUCUAAAGCUAAAUAUUGGUGCGAGACCGAUAGCGAACAAGUACCGUGAGGGAAAGAUGAAAAGAACUUUGAAAAGAGAGUUAAAGAGUACCUGAAACUGCUGAAAGGGAACCGAAUCGUUUCCAGUGUCUAUAAUCUGUGGCAUAUUUCAUUGGCGAGCGUUUGCGUGCGUGUGCUGUGGCAGUGGCUUUUUUGGCUGCGCCUGGUGUGUGUGGUGUGAGUGUUUGCUGGUGCCCUGUGCUGCGGUGGGACGUCAAGGUCAGUUCGUAUGCUGCGGGAAAUGGCUGCCGAGGAGGUAGGGCUUACGCUCCGCGUUUGUCUGUUAUAUCUUGGUGGACGAGUCGUCGCGGUUGGGACUGAGGUGCCUACAACGUGCUUUUGAGUGGGUUUGUGUCUCCGUGUGCGCCGUGUGCGGAUAGCUUGCUAUGCGUGUGUGGUUGUGUGUGGAUUGAUGCGGGCCUUAACUUGUCGCCGUUCGGGACGU